AACGAACGCUGGCGGCAUGCCUAACACAUGCAAGUCGAACGAACCCUUCGGGGUUAGUGGCGCACGGGUGCGUAACGCGUGGGAAUCUGCCCUUUUCUUCGGAAUAACUCAGGGAAACUUGUGCUAAUACCGGAUGAUGUCUUCUGACCAAAGAUUUAUCGGCAAGGGAUGAGCCCGCGUAGGAUUAGGUAGUUGGUGGGGUAAAGGCCUACCAAGCCGACGAUCCUUAGCUGGUCUGAGAGGAUGAUCAGCCACACUGGGACUGAGACACGGCCCAGACUCCUACGGGAGGCAGCAGUGGGGAAUAUUGGAAAAUCGGCGCAAGCAUGAUCCAGCAAUGCCGCGUGAGUGAUGAAGGCCCUCGGGUCGUAAAGCUCUUUUACCAGGGAUGAUAAUGACAGUACCUGGAGAAUAAGCUCCGGCUAACUCCGUG
rnacentral:rRNA from 1 species